UGAGUUGUUUGGUUAUGUAAC
rnacentral:siRNA from 1 species